AAUCAACGCUGGCGGCGUGCCUCAGACAUGCAAGUCGAACGCGAAAUUUCCCUUCGGGGAGAAAGUAGAGUGGCGCACGGGUGAGUAACACGUAGGUAAUUUGCCUUUGGGUGGGGAAUAACUCAGGGAAACUUGAGCUAAUACCGCAUAAUGCAGCGGCUCGACAUCGAGACAGUUGUUAAAGCGGGGGAUUGGAGCAAUCCGACCUCGCGCCUAAAGAGAAGCCUGCGGCAGAUUAGCUAGUUGGUAAGGUAAUGGCUUACCAAGGCGACGAUCUGUAACCGGCCUGAGAGGGCGGUCGGUCACACUGACACUGACAUACGGGUCAGACUCCUACGGGAGGCAGCAGUCGGGAAUUUUGGGCAAUGGGCGCAAGCCUCGACCCAGCAACGCCGCGUGAAGGAUGUAAAUUUUUCGGAAUUGUAAACUUCGCAAGAACAGAAGAAUAAGUGUGGGACAAUACCCCACAUGAUGACGGUA
rnacentral:rRNA from 1 species